AAUGAUCCAUUAUCCAUCUUUAUUCCAUUUUGUCUCUCGAUCAGCGGUGUUUGUUUGAUUGAGCUUUCUUCUCUCUCUCUUUCUUGAUCGUAUCGUUUUGAGAAAAAAAAUAUUCCUUAAACCAGCGCCGAUUAUCGGAGGAUUAGAUGGAGGUUAUGGUGGGUUCAUCGUUUGGGAUCGGUAUGGCGGCGUGCGUUAGGGAUCGUGUCGGUGUUUCGGCGCAGGAUAAGGCCGUACCGCCGCCGGCUCUGUUUAUGGCGGGUGAAUCGGGACGAGGUGGAUCUCAGAUCGGGCUUGCGAGCCGUAUCGGGUUAAGUAUGAGUCGUAGUAAAUCAGGGGAGGAAUCGUCGGAGGAUAGCUCAUCGUCGUCGAUCGGAGAGAUCAGCGAAAACGAAGAGGAGGAGGAAGACGACGCCGUUUCGUCCCAUGGAGAAGGAGGAGGAGCCCUUGAUUCGUUUAGUUCCUCUUUAGAAGACUCUCUACCAAUUAAGAGAGGUUUAUCGAACCAUUACGUGGGUAAAUCAAAAUCUUUUGGGAAUUUAAUGGAAGCGAGCAACAUCAAGGCGAAGGAUCUGGAAAAAGUAGAAAACCCGUUUAAUAAGAAGAGGAGGUUGAUUAUUGCUAAUAAGCUGAGGAGCAGAGGAAGAUCUAUGUCAGUUUCCAGUUUCUACACUUGGCAAAACCCUAAUUCUACGCCUUUACUUGCACUACAAGAACCCGAUAAAGUGGAUGAUAAUCAAACUGUUAGUUUGUUUGAGAGGAGGAAGAUGAUGAUGCAGAGUAAGAAAGAUUUGAUGGCUCAGACUCAAAGUUGUUUCUGUCUUAGUAGUUUGCAAGAGGAAGAUGAUGAUGUUGGUAGUGGUGAUGAUAAUGAGUGAUAUAAUUCUCAGUUUUUAAUUACAGAAAAAUUUAGUGGUGGAAGAUUUGAUUUGUGAAGGAUAUUAUUAUUUAUUGUUGUCGGAAAGCAUCAUAUAUGAUACCUCUCAAGUUUUGUGGAGGUUGAUGAGGAUCUAUCGUUGUCUGGAGUCCCUUCAUAUUUUGAAACACUAUGGUGCAUUCAUUAACAUUGGCAAAAUCAGCGGAGUUCUGCAUAUCAGUUAGAUCAAUCAUGAGUCAUGACCAUGUCUAAGAUUAUUGCGUUUCACAACUGUUCAUUAGUUCGGUGACACUUUGAAGUUCAACCGAAGAUAAAAUUUUGGAUUUGUAGUUCUGUUACAUGUUAUGCUACUAAGCCACGAGGGUGACAGAAUAGUAUGUCUCUCCACCAAAAGGCUGGAUGGAGUCAACACCACAGUGCCGGCUCUUGACAUGUGCUGAAGGUGCCACAGCACAGGGUCCAAUCUUUUUAUUACAUAUUUAUUUCAUAAUUAAAGGUCCAAAAUUGUUCAGAUUAUUAAUAUUAUUGUAGUAAAAUAUGAAAAGUACACGUUAAAUAAGGGUCUUUUUUUACA